rnacentral:lncRNA from 1 species
CAAUUCAAAAUGUUAAAAUUUUCAUCACUAGCAUCUUCAGUGGAUUCCAUUAGCUAUCGUUGUACCUCAUCUUUUCCAGAAAAAUUCAUUUUGGAAGUUUUCAAUUUCUUGUACCCAAAAUUAAAAUUGCAAUCAUCCCAAUCAUCAUCAUCAUCAUUCAAAUCCUCCAACAAAGUGACUCCAUCAUUAGAUUCAUCACCCCCACUUCCGCUUCCACUCGGUCCAUUGUUUGAACGAUGCCAUCCCUUUUGUUGGUUAUAUAAAGCAUACAAUAAUUUCAUGAGCUCAUUUUUUGUGGCUUCAACUUUAACACUGUCAUACAAAAUACCAAUGCAAUGUACAACAAACUCCAACUUAUACCUAGGAUCAAGCACGACUGCUACAAUCAAAAUCUUAUUCAUUUUAUCAACGUUACCCCCAAUACUUGUCAAACUUAAUUUUCAUGCUAUUUGCUAUACUACUUAGCAAAUAAUCUUGCUUCUCACCCAUUUUCUUCAAUAUUUGCUCGAUUUUACAAAUUUCAUGGAAGUAAAUAUUGGAAGUAACACUCAAUGAAGAACUAAACUUUAAUGUGACAUCAUAAAAGGUUCUUAGAAACUUGACAAAUUUUCUAGCUUUCUCCCAAUCAUAACUUGUAGGUGGCCCCUCUUUUUCUUUUCCACCUUCAUUUUCAUCAAAAUAUUUACAAUAAAAUCCGUCCUCUUCCUCCAUUCUUUCAAAAGCUUUUUCAAAAUUCAAUGCACUAUCCAACAUUAAGAAUGUUGAAUUCCAUCUAGUAGGAACAUCUAAAAUAGCAAGUUUUGUGCAUGCGAUCUUUUCCCUUUGAAUACAAUAUUUAAAUUUUGUCAACCAGGAAGGAGCUGAUCGAAAAUAUUUUACUGCAUUACGAAUACUAUCUAUAGAUGGAUUAAACUCUUUCAACCCUUCUUUAACAAUCAAUUUGAUUAUGUGUGCUGAACAACGUACAUGCAGAUAAGAGCCACCUAAAAUCAUAAUAUCAUCAGGUUUCCAAUUCUUCAACUUGUUUUUCACAUAAACGAUCGCUGCAUCAUUUGUGUUUGUAUUAUCUAUAGUAGUGGUACCCACACACUCUAUUCCCCAAUCAAGCAGACACAUCUCAAUAAUCUUCCCAAUUGUCUCCCCUUUAUGAUUUGGAACCACAAAAAAACUCAAUAUCCUCUUAUGCAAUUUUCAACUUCUAUCAAUAAAGUGUGC